rnacentral:ncRNA from 1 species
CACCACUUGGUGAAAAUUAAGUCGUAAAGAGCAAAGUUUAGUAGUUUAUUAUCGAACAACUUUGAGACUAAUAAGAAA